rnacentral:rRNA from 1 species
UACGAAGGGGGGCUAGCGUUGCUCGGAAUCACUGGGCGUAAAGCGCACGUAGGCGGAUCUUUAAGUCAGAGGUGAAAUCCCAAGGCUCAACCUUGGAACUGCCUUUGAUACUGGGGAUCUUGAGUCCGGAAGAGGUGAGUGGAACUCCGAGUGUAGAGGUGAAAAUUCGUAGAUAUUCGGAAGAACACCAGUGGCGAAGGCGGCUCACUGGUCCGGUACUGACGCUGAGGUGCGAAAGCGUGGGGAGCAAACAGG